rnacentral:rRNA from 1 species
UACGGAGGGUGCAAGCGUUAUCCGGAAUCACUGGGUUUAAAGGGUGCGUAGGCGGCUUUGUAAGUCAGAGGUGAAAGCUCACGGCUCAACUGUGGAAUUGCCUUUGAUACUGCAAGGCUUGAAUGAGUGCGAGGCAGGCGGAAUGUGGCAUGUAGCGGUGAAAUGCUUAGAGAUGCCAUAGAACACCGAUUGCGAAGGCAGCCUGCCAGAACUCAAUUGACGCUGAGGCACGAAAGCGUGGGGAGCGAACAGG